rnacentral:rRNA from 1 species
GGUUAAGCGACUAAGCGUACACGGUGGAUGCCCCGGCAGUCAGAGGCGAUGAAGGACGUGCUAAUCUGCGAUAAGCGUCGGUAAGGUGAUAUGAACCGUUAUAACCGGCGAUUUCCGAAUGGGGAAACCCAGUGUGUUUCGACACACUAUCAUUAACUGAAUCCAUAGGUUAAUGAGGCGAACCGGGGAACUGAAACAUCUAAGUACCCCGAGGAAAAGAAAUCAACCGAGAUUCCCCCAGUAGCGGCGAGCGAACGGGGAGCAGCCCAGAGCCUGAAUCAGUAUGUGUGUUAGUGGAAGCGUCUGGAAAGGCGCGCGAUACAGGGUGACAGCCCCGUACACAAAAAUGCACAUGCUGUGAGCUCGAUGAGUAGGGCGGGACACGUGGUAUCCUGUCUGAAUAUGGGGGGACCAUCCUCCAAGGCUAAAUACUCCUGACUGACCGAUAGUGAACCAGUACCGUGAGGGAAAGGCGAAAAGAACCCCGGCGAGGGGAGUGAAAAAGAACCUGAAACCGUGUACGUACAAGCAGUGGGAGCACGCUUAGGCGUGUGACUGCGUACCUUUUGUAUAAUGGGUCAGCGACUUAUAUUCUGUAGCAAGGUUAACCGAAUAGGGGAGCCGAAGGGAAACCGAGUCUUAACUGGGCGUUAAGUUGCAGGGUAUAGACCCGAAACCCGGUGAUCUAGCCAUGGGCAGGUUGAAGGUUGGGUAACACUAACUGGAGGACCGAACCGACUAAUGUUGAAAAAUUAGCGGAUGACUUGUGGCUGGGGGUGAAAGGCCAAUCAAACCGGGAGAUAGCUGGUUCUCCCCGAAAGCUAUUUAGGUAGCGCCUCGUGAAUUCAUCUCCGGGGUAGAGCACUGUUUCGGCAAGGGGGUCAUCCCGACUUACCAACCCGAUGCAAACUGCGAAUACCGGAGAAUGUUAUCACGGGAGACACACGGCGGGUGCUAACGUCCGUCGUGAAGAGGGAAACAACCCAGACCGCCAGCUAAGGUCCCAAAGUCAUGGUUAAGUGGGAAACGAUGUGGGAAGGCCCAGACAGCCAGGAUGUUGGCUUAGAAGCAGCCAUCAUUUAAAGAAAGCGUAAUAGCUCACUGGUCGAGUCGGCCUGCGCGGAAGAUGUAACGGGGCUAAACCAUGCACCGAAGCUGCGGCAGCGACACUAUGUGUUGUUGGGUAGGGGAGCGUUCUGUAAGCCUGUGAAGGUGUGCUGUGAGGCAUGCUGGAGGUAUCAGAAGUGCGAAUGCUGACAUAAGUAACGAUAAAGCGGGUGAAAAGCCCGCUCGCCGGAAGACCAAGGGUUCCUGUCCAACGUUAAUCGGGGCAGGGUGAGUCGACCCCUAAGGCGAGGCCGAAAGGCGUAGUCGAUGGGAAACAGGUUAAUAUUCCUGUACUUGGUGUUACUGCGAAGGGGGACGGAGAAGGCUAUGUUGGUAGGGCGACGGUUGUCCCGGUUUAAGCGUGUAGGCUGGUUUUCCAGGCAAAUCCGGAAAAUCAAGGCUGAGGCGUGAUGACGAGGCACUACGGUGCUGAAGCAACAAAUGCCCUGCUUCCAGGAAAAGCCUCUAAGCAUCAGGUAACAUCAAAUCGUACCCCAAACCGACACAGGUGGUCAGGUAGAGAAUACCAAGGCGCUUGAGAGAACUCGGGUGAAGGAACUAGGCAAAAUGGUGCCGUAACUUCGGGAGAAGGCACGCUGAUAUGUAGGUGAGGUCCCUCGCGGAUGGAGCUGAAAUCAGUCGAAGAUACCAGCUGGCUGCAACUGUUUAUUAAAAACACAGCACUGUGCAAACACGAAAGUGGACGUAUACGGUGUGACGCCUGCCCGGUGCCGGAAGGUUAAUUGAUGGGGUUAGCGCAAGCGAAGCUCUUGAUCGAAGCCCCGGUAAACGGCGACUGUAACUAUAACGGUCCUAAGGUAGCGAAAUUCCUUGUCGGGUAAGUUCCGACCUGCACGAAUGGCGUAAUGAUGGCCAGGCUGUCUCCACCCGAGACUCAGUGAAAUUGAACUCGCUGUGAAGAUGCAGUGUACCCGCGGCAAGACGGAAAGACCCCGUGAACCUUUACUAUAGCUUGACACUGAACAUUGAGCCUUGAUGUGUAGGAUAGGUGGGAGGCUUAGAAGUGUGGACGCCAGUCUGCAUGGAGCCGACCUUGAAAUACCACCCUUUAAUGUUUGAUGUUCUAACGUUGACCCGUAAUCCGGGUUGCGGACAGUGUCUGGUGGGUAGUUUGACUGGGGCGGUCUCCUCCUAAAGAGUAACGGAGGAGCACGAAGGUUGGCUAAUCCUGGUCGGACAUCAGGAGGUUAGUGCAAUGGCAUAAGCCAGCUUGACUGCGAGCGUGACGGCGCGAGCAGGUGCGAAAGCAGGUCAUAGUGAUCCGGUGGUUCUGAAUGGAAGGGCCAUCGCUCAACGGAUAAAAGGUACUCCGGGGAUAACAGGCUGAUACCGCCCAAGAGUUCAUAUCGACGGCGGUGUUUGGCACCUCGAUGUCGGCUCAUCACAUCCUGGGGCUGAAGUAGGUCCCAAGGGUAUGGCUGUUCGCCAUUUAAAGUGGUACGCGAGCUGGGUUUAGAACGUCGUGAGACAGUUCGGUCCCUAUCUGCCGUGGGCGCUGGAGAACUGAGGGGGGCUGCUCCUAGUACGAGAGGACCGGAGUGGACGCAUCACUGGUGUUCGGGUUGUCAUGCCAAUGGCACUGCCCGGUAGCUAAAUGCGGAAGAGAUAAGUGCUGAAAGCAUCUAAGCACGAAACUUGCCCCGAGAUGAGUUCUCCUGACUCCUUGAGAGUCCUGAAGGAACGUUGAAGACGACGACGUUGAUAGGCCGGGUGUGUAAGCGCAGCGAUGCGUUGAGCUAACCGGUACUAAUGAACCGUGAGGCUUAACCUU